GCGGCUACUGCUAUCAGGUUUCGACUAAGCCAUGCGAGUCAAGGGGUCGUAAGACACCGGCGUACUGCUCAGUAACACGCGGACAAUCUACCCCCAGGUGGAGGAUAACCUCGGGAAACUGAGGCUAAUACCCCAUAGUUGUCAUGUGCUGGAAUGCUUUGACGAUGAAAGAAUUUCGCCUGAGGAUGAGUCUGCGGCCUAUCAGGUAGUAUGUGGUGUAAAGGACCACAUAGCCUAAGACGGGUACGGGCCCUGGGAGGGGUAGCCCGGAGAUGGACUCUGAGACAUAAGUCCAGGCCCUACGGGGCGCAGCAGGCACGAACACUGUGCAAUGCGCGAAAGCGCGACACGGGGAGCUUGAGUGUCUUGGCAUAGCCAAGACUUUUCUCAUUCCUAAAAAGCAUGAGGAAUAAGUGCUGGGUAAGACGGGUGCCAGCCGCCGCGGUAACACCCGCAGCACGAGUAGUGGUCACUUUUAUUGAGCCUAAAGCGUUUGUAGCCGGAUUUGUAAAUCUCUAGGAAAAUACUUCUGCUUAACUGAAGAAAUUUUGGAGAGACUGCAAAUCUAGGGACCGGGUGAGGUUGAAUGUACUUCUGGGGUAGGGGUAAAAUCCUGUAAUCCUGGAAGGACGACCGGUGGCGAAGGCGUUCAACUAGAACGGAUCCGACGGUGAGGAACGAAGGCUAGGGGAGCAAACCGGAUUAGAUACCCGGGUAGUCCUAGCUGUAAACACUGCCCACUUGGUGUUGCAUCUCCGGUAAGGGGGUGCAGUGCCGUAGCGAAGGUGUUAAGUGGGCCGCUUGGGGAGUAUGGUCGCAAGGCUGAAACUUAA
rnacentral:rRNA from 1 species